CCGCCGACGACCGGCGCACGGGUGCGCAACGCGUAUACAAUCUACCUUAUGCUGAGGGAUAGCCCAGAGAAAUUUGGAUUAAGACCUCAUGGUAUCGAGAGACGGCAUCGUUUUUUGAUUAAAGGUUACGGCAUAAGAUGAGUAUGCGUCCCAUUAGCUAGUUGGUGUGGUAACGGCACACCAAGGCUACGAUGGGUAGGGGUCCUGAGAGGGAGAUCCCCCACACUGGUACUGAGACACGGACCAGACUCCUACGGGAGGCAGCAGUGAGGAAUAUUGGACAAUGGACGCAAGUCUGAUCCAGCCAUGCCGCGUGCAGGAAGACGGUCCUAUGGAUUGUAAACUGCUUUUAUACGGGAAGAAUAAGGACUACGUGUAGUCCGGUGACGGUACCGUAAGAAUAAGGAUCGGCUAACUCCGUGCCAGCAGCCGCGGUAAUACGGAGGAUCCAAGCGUUAUCCGGAAUCAUUGGGUUUAAAGGGUCCGUAGGCGGACUAUUAAGUCAGGGGUGAAAGUCUGCAGCUCAACUGUAGAAUUGCCUUUGAUACUGGUAGUCUUGAGUUAUGGUGAAGUGGCUAGAAUAUGUAGUGUAGCGGUGA
rnacentral:rRNA from 1 species